UACGGGGGGGGCAAGCGUUGUUCGGAAUUACUGGGCGUAAAGGGCUCGUAGGUGGCCAACUAAGUCAGACGUGAAAUCCCUCGGCUUAACCGGGGAACUGCGUCUGAUACUGGAUGGCUUGAGUUCGGGAGAGGGAUGCGGAAUUCCAGGUGUAGCGGUGAAAUGCGUAGAUAUCAGGAGGAACACCGAUGGCGAAGGCAGGUCUCUGGGCUGACACUGACGCUCAUGCACGAAAGCGUGGGGAGCAAACAGG
rnacentral:rRNA from 1 species